rnacentral:lncRNA from 1 species
UCCGUUUCUUUAUAAUUUUUGUAUUUAAUUUUCUCAAUGAUAAUACAUUUAAAACUUUCACAUAAAAUGCUAGUGAGUUCCUAGAGCUGGGCCGAUACUCCCUGAAGACAUUGAUGGAUGAAGGCAAGAAGGCCAGGAGAUUCCAGUGGGGCCUCCGCCCAAAAAUCAAGCAACACUUAUUGGUACUGGAGCUCAAGACAUACUCAGCCGUUUUAGUAAAGGCACAGAUUGUGGAGAGAAGUUUCAACACCCAUCCUCAGUCAGCAGGGAGUCGCCGACCCUCAGCUCCACCCCGCAGACUAGUACCCAUUGCGUCGGUCCAACCAAAUAAGAGGCCCAGACCAGUGAUCCAGGCCCCUCCUUAGGCUCCAGGGGUAGCACGUGGAAAGAUAUGCCAACACUGUGGUAGGGAUCACAGGGACCGACCAUGCUACCGCCUCAACAACACCUGCCGCAUAUGUGGCAGUGCCCAGCACUAUGCGAG